AUAAUGCAAGUCGAGCGGACGGAUGGGAGCUUGCUCCCUGAAGUCAGCGGCGGACGGGUGAUUAACACGUGGGCAACCUGCCUGUAAGACUGGGAUAACUCCGGGAAACCGGGGCUAAUACCGGAUAACUCUUUUCCUCACAUGAGGAAAAGCUGAAAGAUGGUUUCGGCUAUCACUUACAGAUGGGCCCGCGGCGCAUUAGCUAGUUGGUGAGGUAACGGCUCACCAAGGCCACGAUGCGUAGCCGACCUGAGAGGGUGAUCGGCCACACUGGGACUGAGACACGGCCCAGACUCCUACGGGAGGCAGCAGUAGGGAAUCUUCCGCAAUGGACGAAAGUCUGACGGAGCAACGCCGCGUGAGUGAUGAAGGUUUUCGGAUCGUAAAACUCUGUUGUCAGGGAAGAACAAGUACCGGAGUAACUGCCGGUACCUUGACGGUACCUGACCAGAAAGCCACGGCUAACUACGUGCCAGCAGCCGCGGUAAUACGUAGGUGGCAAGCGUUGUCCGGAAUUAUUGGGCGUAAAGCGCGCGCAGGCGGUUCCUUAAGUCUGAUGUGAAAGCCCCCGGCUCAACCGGGGAGGGUCAUUGGAAACUGGGGGAACUUGAGUGCAGAAAGAGAAGAGUGGAAUUCCACGUGUAGCGGUGAAAUGCGUAGAGAUGUGGAAGGAACACCAGUGGCGAAGGCGACUCUUUGGUCUGUA
rnacentral:rRNA from 2 species